rnacentral:tRNA from 1 species
GCGGGGGUGGUGGAAUGGUAGACACGCUAGCUUGAGGUGCUAGUGGCGCGAGCUGUGCCAGUUCAAGUCUGGUCUCCCGCA